GAUGAACGCUGGCGGCGUGCCUAAUACAUGCAAGUCGAGCGAACAGACGAGGAGCUUGCUCCUCUGACGUUAGCGGCGGACGGGUGAGUAACACGUGGAUAACCUACCUAUAAGACUGGGAUAACUUCGGGAAACCGGAGCUAAUACCGGAUAAUAUAUUGAACCGCAUGGUUCAAUAGUGAAAGACGGUUUUGCUGUCACUUAUAGAUGGAUCCGCGCCGCAUGAGCUAGUUGGUAAGGUAACGGCUUGCCAAGGCAACGAUGCGUAGCCGACCUGAGAGGGUGAUCGGCCACACUGGAACUGAGACACGGUCCAGACUCCUACGGGAGGCAGCAGUAGGGAAUCUUCCGCAAUGGGCGAAAGCCUGACGGAGCAACGCCGCGUGAAUGAUGAAGGUCUUCGGAUCGUAAAACCCUGUUAUGAGGGAAGAACAAAUGUGUAAGUAACUAUGCACGUCUUGACGGUACCUAAUCAGAAAGCCACGGCUAACUACGUG
rnacentral:rRNA from 1 species